UACGUAGGGUCCCGAGCGUUGUCCGGAGUUACUGGGCGUAAAGCGCGCGCAGGCGGUCCCGCGCGCCCGGCGUGAAAGCCCCCGGCUCAACCGGGGAGGGUCGUCGGGGACGGCGGGACUUGAGGGCGGUAGGGGCCGGUGGAAUCCCUGGUGUAGUGGUGAAAUGCGUAGAGAUCAGGGGGAACACCCGUGGCGAAGGCGGCCGGCUGGGCCGACCCUGACGCUGAGGCGCGAAGGCGUGGGGAGCGAACGGGAUUAGAAACCCUUGUAGU
rnacentral:rRNA from 1 species